AGCGGAGCCGGGGUGAGGGCGGGACACGGACCGCGGCCGCCUGCGGCUUGGAGCUCGGGGUCUCCCGGGGCGCGGGGACCUGGGGCCGAAGACCCCGAUCCGCAGCCUCGGUGAGGCCUCGUCCUUCACUGUACAGAUGCGAAGCUUUCAAGGACACGUCUGCACCGGCCCGGCAGGGGAUUGGAACCAGGGAUAAUAAAAAUGGCUCCCGGUGGAUGAAUGGAUAAAGAAACCGCGGUAUAGACACACCAUGGGAUAUUACUCGGCAUUGAAAGAAAAUAAAAUCAAGGCAUUUGCAGAAAGCCAUGUUUGGGGCUAGAUGUGAUUGGGGACUGAAAACCCGAAAGUUGUCAAAGGAGGACUGGCAAGACUACCAAAGACUCCAGGUGAAACAAAGGCCUGGAAUCCAGAACAUGGUGGAGUCCAGAACAUCCAGAGGGCAGGAGAGAGGCAGGAUGGUGUUGGCCGGAGAGUGAAUUAGCCGCUUGGAGAGUCUGGUGCAGGUGGCUGGCCGGGGUGGACCAAGGCCCAGAGAGUCAUAUACUGUCCUGGAUUGGAGACCUACCAGAGGAAUUUCCUGCCAAGUAAAAUUGUGUGUUUCUCUUUGCUCACCUAAAAAAGUUGCCAGUUACUACAGAGGAGGGGCAGAGACCAUGACCAACAAGAGCUCACACACGAUGCCCCCUCCACUGCCCCCCACUCCACGCCCAUGACUCAACUCUCAAACUUCCACAUGCUUUUCCCAGAGCCCUUCCCACCUCCUAGCUUUACACAACUGCUUACUGUCUAUCUCUUGUAUGGGAACGUCAUUAUUUGCCGUUUUCCUAGGACCUAGAAUAUGGCCGGCACAUAGUAGGUGCUCAAGGAAAUACUCUUGAAUGACUGAAUGAAGCAGAUGCUUCCUGGUCUGCAUCGAAGGCUCCCUCAGUCUAGUGUAGGGUGCACAGAGCACAUGAUCCCUGGCAAAGACAGGGCUGUCCUUAGUUUGGGGGAAACUAGCCCAUUUGUGGCAAACUAGCGAAAAAGAUUAAGAUAGGACCUUGUGCUUCAGAGUCUGGAAAUAGUAGACCCCAACCCCCAGUGAGGAGCAGCCAGGCCAGGGAGAGCUACAUGUGAACGUGGUGAUGGGGCUGAGUUCUGGAAGGUGGCCCUCCUGGCCCUAACCUGGUACUCCUGGACCAGCCCCAGGGGUAUUUUUUCCAUUGUCUGAAGACGGUAGCUGGGGCAGAAGUGUGGCUCAGUGCUCUGGGCCCCUCCGUCCCCUGAAGGUGGUCCUUCUGUGGCUGUAGGGGAGAUGAAGUGGUGCCUGAGCCUGAGCACCCUCACCAGUCUGGGGAGACCCCACUGGGGUGACUGAGCUACUUGGGACUGGGCCCGGGGCUCAGUCCCCAGCAGCACCAGGAGCCUGCAUGACAUCAGUGCAGCGUGGCCUUUGAGUCAUGAGGCCUGGCCAGUGUGGCCUGGCGUGGCCUGACCUGAACUGCAAGCCGGAGGGGGAGGCAGACACGAGUGUCAGAGGAAGGAACGGGAGUAGCAGGGACAGAGCUGAGCAGUUGCUGUGUGCCCAGCCUGGUGCCUAACAACUGUCUAGAGUGGAAUGAUCUUUGUUUUAUAGAUGCAGAGAGGAAGGCUGUGCCCUGUCUGAGGUCACACUCUUGAGAGGAGCAGCAGCGUCAGCAUUUAAAGGCAGGCCUGACUGUCCCCAGAGCCCAAGCUGGUCCACUGAAACCCACAGCUGGGUAGGAAGCUCAGGGAAGUCCCCGGCUCCCGACAAGGAGGCCGUCGGCCUCUGGGAGAGCAGAGGCAGAGGCACAGCCAUCCUGGCGAGGCAGAGAGGGCAGCUUAGCAGGGGCCCUGCAGCUGCAGGCUCACAGGAAGAGGAGCAGAGAAGGUCCAAAAGGAUAAACCAAGGCGUGAGGUGGCAAAGAUUGGCCAGGCUCAAGGUGGCCUGAGGUGGAUGACUUGGGGACCAAAGCUGGAGCAGGGUCACACAAGAGUAAAUACCCCCAGGAGUUGGACAGGUCACAUCCCAGGGCAGGUGAGGAGGGGGGCAGGAGCAGACAGAGGGACAAGCAGGAGGCUGGAACCGAGAGGACUGAGUAGGGCCCGGAGCCCACAAGCCCAGGCCCAGGGCAUGCUGCCAGGACCCUAUCUUUCUAGGCAGCUGGGGAGGGAUGUGUUGGGGACACCAGACAGUCCUAGGCCCUCAGGCACUGGCUCCUGUGUGGAUACCAUGUGAUCUUUUGCCUCCUCAGCCUCUUGGAGCUCCUCCUGCAGAUGGGCAUCCCUCUGCACCAUCCUAAACCACACACCAUUAGCCGCACUGGAAAGCAGCUUGGACCAGUCCGUAUGGUCAUUAGGUUCUGCGUCUCAUUUCCAGGCCAGCGCACCCCCUGGCGUUGGCUCACUCAGGACUGUCCAACACGACCUUCCAGUUCCUUCCUCCACGUUUCACUCCGUGGGCACAUCUGGGCACAGGUAUAGCUCUUUGGGGUGUUCCCAAGUGAGAAGAUCCUCCAUGGUCACAGCCACAGAACGGAAAAUUUCUUCUGGGGACCACGGUGAUUGGCCCACCUCCCGCCCACCCAGCCAGGGCCUCACGCAGCCUGAGGUGAUGGCUCCUUGCUCGGGUGUACAG